UACGGAGGGGACUAGCGUUGUUCGGAAUUACUGGGCGUAAAGCGCACGUAGGCGGAUUUGUAAGUCAGGGGUGAAAUCCCGAGGCUCAACCUCGGGUCUGCAGUCGAUACGAGCAAACUAGAGUGUUGCAGGGGAGACUGGAAUUCCCGGUGUAGUGGUGAAAUGCGUAGAUAUCGGGAGGAACACCAGUGGCGAAGGCGACUACCUGGCCUGUUCUUGACGCUGAGGCGCGAAAGCUAGGGGAGCAAACGGG
rnacentral:rRNA from 1 species